UUUGCAUCGGACUUCUAGACCGCAUCCAUUUCAUGGCUCAAGCAUAAUAUAUAUUGCUUAAUGAUAGGUUUUGUUCCUGUAUUCGAUACCCAUGUUGGUGGGAUGAUGCUUCUAUUUUGUCCCAGUCCUCUAGAUGUCCUUUCAAGGGCAUCGGGUGGAGCAUGCAUUCUGAUCCGCCAAACCUAGUAAGCUGUUUUGGUUUCAACGGUUGUUGGAUCAAAGCUUGUGUUCUUGGUUACGGAAAAUCCUAUGGGUUCGAGGAUUUAAUCCUUGGAUUAGCCCUAUGUGGGAAAUCGUCCCUGGAAAAAAAUGACAACCUUUGUGCUUUACAAUCUGCUUUAUGCUCGUUUGGGCUUAAAAAGUGUCGUGGGUGCAUCGGUGUCUUCAAAGAAUGCUACCUGGUUGAUCCUGCCAAUAAUCAUAUGCUUGUCUCAAAAAUUAACCUUGCUUGGGA
rnacentral:misc_RNA from 1 species